rnacentral:rRNA from 1 species
UACGUAGGGGGCGAGCGUUGUCCGGAAUCAUUGGGCGUAAAGCGCGCGUAGGCGGCCCGAUAAGUCCGCUGUGAAAGUCAAGGGCUUAACCCUUGAAUGCCGGUGGAAACUGUCGGGCUAGAGUCCGGAAGAGGCGAGUGGAAUUCCUGGUGUAGCGGUGAAAUGCGCAGAUAUCGGGAAGAACACCCGUGGCGAAGGCGGUUCUCUGGGACGGUACUGACGCUGAGACGCGAAAGCGUGGGGAGCGAACAGG